AGCUUUGCGCAGUGGCAGUAUCGUAGCCAAUGAGGUUUAUCCGAGGUGCGAUUAUUGCUAAUUAAAGCCUCUGCCUUCGGCUCAGGUCAUGAUCCAGCAUCCUGGGAUCGAGCCCCACAUUGGGCUCUCUGCUCAGC